AUGGCGGCGUCGCGACGGCGCACGUCGGCGGAGUUCCAAGGGGACGGCAGCCUAAUGCCGCCGUCGGCGCACGUGGUCGCUUCUCCCCGCGGCGGUGGCGCGCCCAGCCGGGAGGAGCACGCGAACGGCGGCCGCCCGGCGCUCCGGGGAGCAAAUCCAAGAGGCGGCAGCAGCGUAUUCUCAGCCACCAAGCUCACCGGCAGGAGGCGGCCGGCGAGGCGCAUGCCACUACGGCGAGUCGCCAUCUUUGCCUCCCUCGCAUUGAAUGUCGCCGCACUCGCGCUCCUACGCCACCGGUACGUCGUCAGCCACCCGCACCAUCCCGGUGUCGUCUCUCUUGAUCAGCAGCACCACGUCUGCGCCCCGCAGCCGGGCACCAGCGGCGCGGCGGCGAGUGCGCCGUCGACCGGGAAGCCGGGAGUGACUUCCGACUCUGUUAUUAAUCUGGACCACGGGGACCCGACCAUGUUUGAGGCCUUCUGGAGGGAGACCGGCGACGCGGCGGAGCUCGUAAUCCCGGGGUGGCAGACGAUGAACUACUUCUCCGACGUCAGUAACGUGUGCUGGUUCAUGGAGCCUGAUUUCGACCAGCAGGUGCGCCGCCUCCACCGCACGGUCGGCAACGCCGCCGUGGACGGUUGCCACGUCCUCGUCGGCACCGGUUCCACGCAGCUCCUCAUGGCGGCGCUCUACGCCCUGUCGCCAGCGGAUGCCGUCCAGCCCACCAGCGUCGUCUCCACGGCGCCCUUCUACUCGUGGUACCCUGCCGUGACGGACUUCCUCCGGUCCGGGCUGUUCCGCUGGGCCGGCGACGCAAACUCGUUCGUUGGCGACGCCUACAUCGAGCUGGUGUGCUCCCCGAACAACCCCGACGGCGCCAUCCGCGACGCCCUGCUGGGCUCCGGUGGCGCCGGGAAGGCGGUCCAUGACCUUGCCUACUACUGGCCGCAGUACACCCCAAUCACUCGACGGGCCGACCAUGACAUCAUGCUCUUCACCAUGUCCAAGAGCACCGGGCACGCCGGCACGAGGAUCGGGUGGGCAUUGGUGAAGGACCGGGAGGUGGCGCGGAGGAUGACCAAGUUCGUGGAGCUCAACACCGUCAGCGUGUCGAAGGACUCGCAGCUGCGCGCCGCCAGGGUGCUCAGGGCGGUCUCCGACGGGUACGGCGGCGGCGCCUCGCGCCACCGGCUGUUCGACUUCGGGCGGCGCAAGAUGGCGGAGCGCUGGAGGAUGCUGCGCGAGGCCGCCGCCGCGUCCGGCAUCUUCAGCCUGCCCGAGGAGACCUCCGGCCGCUGCAACUUCGCCAACGAGACGGCCGCCAAUAACCAUGCGUUCGCGUGGCUGCGGUGCGACAGGGAGGACGUGGAGGACUGCGCGGGGUUCCUCCGCGGCCACAAGAUCCUGACGAGGAGCGGGAACCAGUUCGGCGCGGAACCGAGGUACGUCCGGGUCAGCAUGCUCGGCAGGGACGACGCCUACGACAUCUUCAUCAGGCGCCUCGCCUCACUCAAAUGA
rnacentral:rRNA from 1 species